rnacentral:rRNA from 1 species
CGGACGGGUGAGUAAUGCUUGGGAAUCUGGCUUAUGGAGGGGGAUAACUACGGGAAACUGUAGCUAAUACCGCGUUAUAUCUUCGGAUUAAAGGGUGGGACUUUCGGGCCACCUGCCAUAAGAUGAGCCCAAGUGGGAUUAGGUAGUUGGUGGGGUAAAGGCCUACCAAGCCGACGAUCUCUAGCUGGUCUGAGAGGAUGACCAGCCACACUGGAACUGAGACACGGUCCAGACUCCUACGGGAGGCAGCAGUGGGGAAUAUUGCACAAUGGGGGGAACCCUGAUGCAGCCAUGCCGCGUGAAUGAAGAAGGCCUUCGGGUUGUAAAGUUCUUUCGGUGAUGAGGAAGGUGUUUGUUUUAAUAGAGCAAGCAAUUGACGUUAGUCACAGAAGAAGCACCGGCUAACUCCGUGCCAGCAGCCGCGGUAAUACGGAGGGUGCGAGCGUUAAUCGGAAUGACUGGGCGUAAAGGGCACGCAGGCGGUGACUUAAGUGAGAUGUGAAAGCCCCGAGCUUAACUUGGGAAUUGCAUUUCAUACUGGGUCGCUAGAGUACUUUAGGGAGGGGUAGAAUUCCACGUGUAGCGGUGAAAUGCGUAGAGAUGCGGAGGAAUACCGAAGGCGAAGGCAGCCCCUUGGGAAUGUACUGACGCUCAUGUGCGAAAGCGUGGGGAGCAAACAGGAUUAGAUACCCUGGUAGUCCACGCUGUAAACGCUGUCGAUUUGGGGAUUGGGCUUUAAGCUUGGUGCCCGUAGCUAACGUGAUAAAUCGACCGCCUGGGGAGUACGGCCGCAAGGUUAAAACUCAAAUGAAUUGACGGGGGCCCGCACAA